AUGGGGAUGGACGAUGCUGGCAGCGGCCACCAUGACAGAUUGUUCCAGAGGCUUCCUUUUUUUAAUUGCUCAACAAUGAGGUUGUGGGAGAUCAGGAUGAACGAGGGAAGGCCUUAUCUGCAAAUGUGGAGAGAGGUGCGGGUAUCUUUUUGCAAAAUUUUCAUAGUUUGCUUUCUAUCCGUCAGAUAUAGAUCGGACGGUCUAUAUUGCAAGAUGGCAGGCACACUAUCAUCACCAACUCGAUUUUUUAUAAGAGUAGAGAUUCAGUUUUUGGUUGCUCAUUUUUAUUGUUUGAUGGAUUUCUUCUUGACAAGCCUUUACGAAUCUACUUUGUUUUUCUGGAUAGGCCAAAAACAAAGUUUUUGA
rnacentral:rRNA from 1 species